AUUCAUCUGACGAGUGCGAAAUAGGAUGGAACGCGCGUCUUGGAU
rfam:Schistosoma haematobium scaffold811_8, whole genome shotgun sequence.